UGGCGGACGGGUGAGUAACGCGUGGAAAACCUGCCGUAUACCGGGGGAUAACACUUAGAAAUAGGUGCUAAUACCGCAUAAGCGCACAGCUUCGCAUGAAGCGGUGUGAAAAACUCUGGUGGUAUACGAUGGUUCCGCGUCUGAUUAGCUAGUUGGUGGGGUAAUGGCCUACCAAGGCAACGAUCAGUAGCCGGCCUGAGAGGGUGAACGGCCACAUUGGGACUGAGACACGGCCCAAACUCCUACGGAAGGCAGCAG
rnacentral:rRNA from 1 species